rnacentral:rRNA from 1 species
CAUGCAGGUGGUUUGUAAGUCAGAUGUGAAAGCCCGGGGCUCAACCUAGGAAUUGCAUUUGAAACUGGCAGACUAGAGUACUGUAGAGGGGGGUAGAAUUUCAGGUGUAGCGGUGAAAUGCGUAGAGAUAUGAAGGAAUACCGGUGGCGAGGGCGGCCCCCUGGACAGAUACUGACACUCAGAUGCGAAAGCGUGGGGAGCAAACAGGAUUAGAUACCCUGGUAGUCCACGCCGUAAACGAUGUUUACUUGGAGGUUGUGGCCUUGAGCCGUGGCUUUCGGAGCUAACGCGUUAAGUAGACCGCCUGGGGAGUACGGUCGCAAGAUUAAAACUCAAAUGAAUUGACGGGGGCCCGCACAAGCGGUGGAGCAUGUGGUUUAAUUCGAUGCAACGCGAAGACCCUUACCUAUUCUUGACAUCCAGGGAAGCCAGCAGAGAUGCAGGUGUGCCUUCGGGAAUU